CAAGUGAUGGGUUUACUGCAUUGU
rnacentral:siRNA from 1 species